UACGUAGGGUGCGAGCGUUAAUCGGAAUUACUGGGCGUAAAGCGUGCGCAGGCGGUUUUGUAAGCCAGAUGUGAAAUCCCCGGGCUUAACCUGGGAAUGGCAUUUGGGACUGCAAGGCUGGAGUGUGGCAGAGGAGACUGGAAUUCCUGGUGUAGCAGUGAAAUGCGUAGAUAUCAGGAGGAAUACCGAUGGCGAAGGCGGCUCUCUGGGACGGUACUGACGCUGAGACGCGAAAGCGUGGGGAGCGAACAGG
rnacentral:rRNA from 1 species